rnacentral:rRNA from 1 species
UGGGGAAUAUUGCACAAUGGAGGGAACUCUGAUGCAGCGACGCCGCGUGAGUGAUGAAGGAAUUCGUUUCGUAAAACUCUGUUCUAUGGGAAGAAAAGGACUGUACCAUAGGAGAAAGCUCCGGCUACAUACGUGCCAGCAGCCGCGGUAAUACGUAUGGAGCGAGCGUUGUCCGGAAUUAUUGGGCGUAAAGGGUGCGCAGGCGGCUUUACAAGUUGGAUGUGAAAUAUUGUGGCUCAACCACAAACGUGCAUCCAAAACUGCAAAGCUUGAGUUAAUGAGAGGUAAGUGGAAUUCCUGGUGUAGCGGUGGAAUGCGUAGAUAUCAGGAGGAAUACCGGUGGCGAAGGCGACUUACUUGACUUACACUGACGCUCAGGCACGAAAGCGUGGGGAGCAAACAGG